GGCACCUGAAGAUAUUUCCUGAGGGAGUUCAGAUUUAAAACACAAUAAUUUGGUGUCAUUUGACAAUUACUGCGGACUACCCAUUCUAAAUUUCUAGAAAGAAAAAAAAAAGAAAAAAAUUAACUCCACCCUACUGUAGAUGUACAAACUGGUCAAGAUAAUAAGAUGAGGGACAUGCGCAUCAUAUAUAAAACACACAAACCAGAAAGACAUUACAAGUGACAAAAUGACUCAAUUAUAGAGAUAAUUUCACAAAGUGGUGGUAUUCCUACCCAUGGGGGAACAGGAGGAGGCAGUAGGAACAUGCCAAAACGAUAAUUACUCCCAGUGAGGUCUGAAGCACUGGAUCAUGGGGUGGUGUGAACUUAUCAUUAAACCCAGCUGUGACCUCACUGAAUGUUUCCCUUUGUGUCUCACAACACAAGGGGGCAGUCACAGCCUACCCUCUAGAGACAACUCUCUUCUUCCACAUAAAACUACAAGCACUUAAAUUACUACAAGCUACUACAAACACUAAAAUUCAAAAUUAUCAUGGCGACUCCUACACCAGCCUCGGAGACCCCCAUCUGGGGAGGGGACCACAAAUGUCUCCAGGUCGGACUGCUCUUCUGAUAAUGACCCUAAGUGUCUUGACACCCCCUCAAUUUUUUCUUCGUUAACUUCUGCAACAUCUGCGGUCUAAGAUCUAAUUUUCAAUCUGUAGAACACCAUCUCUCCUCUUCGAAACCUCAUCUUCUUUUCCUCACUGAAACUCAGGUGUCUGAGGCAACUGACAGUAGCCCCUUUUCUGUUCCUUCCUACUUUCUCUAUCCUCAAUUUCAAUCCAAAGCUGGAUGUAAGAGGUAAGGUGAGGUUAGGUUAGGUGAGGUUAAGCCAGUCAGGAAAUAAGCCCACUAACCCAGUCACCCAAUAAGCCUCACUAAGCCAGUCACUAAGCCACUAAAAUAAUACCACAGUAAUCCACAAGUCAUUUAGCCAAUAAGCCAGUAAGACGACAAACCAAUAAGGAGGAGGAGGAGGAGGGGGAGGAGGAGGAGGAGAAGGAGAAGGAGGAGGAGAAGGAGGAGGAAGAAUAGAAGAAGAAGGAAGAGGUGGAGGAGGAGGAGGAGGAGGAGCAGGAGGAGGAGGAUACGUAAGAUAUCCAUAGCCUGCUCUGCCCUGACCUGCCCGUCUGCUUUGCCCUAUAAACAUGGGUAUUUUGUCCUUUAUUUCCCCUUCCCCUCUCCUUCCACACCUCCCAAGAUGAAGGCAGGAUGAUGAUGUCGUGUUCUUGGUCGUGAAUGACCAAGAACGAUGUAAUUAUUGUGAAUGUGGAAAAAAAAAUAAAUAAAUAUGAUACUGGCCAAGGUAAUGGUGGUGGUGGUCGGUUAUACAAGCAUGGUCUUUCCCUGGCUUAUUUCAUCUUUACUUCUGCUUCCCUAUCUUUCGAAAUUAGUAAAAUCAUAUCUUGCGACUUAAUCUCGAUUUCUACUUUAAUUCCUCUCUUAUUAAUACGUUACCAUCCAUGUUCAGCUAUUAUUUAUUGUACUAUUAAUGAGUACUGCCAAUUAAAACAUUUGAUAGAUAUAUUAUUUUACUGGCAUGUAUGAACUUAAAAAAAAGAAAAAGAAAGAAAAGAAAAGAAAAAAAAAACAGAUAAGUAGAUAGACAAAUAUGAAGAUUAAUUGAUUGACAGGAUUGACCAUAGGGCUUCGGGACACACGGGUAAAUGGGUGGGAGGGAGGGAUAGUAUGUGUGUGUGUGUGUGUGUGUGUGUGUGUGUGCACUUGCUCACACUAGUGACGACUACGAGGGAGAGGAUUGGGAUGAAAUUCUAAUCAAAUAAUAGUAGUAAGUACUCCUUCAAUCAAUCUUCUUAGCAUCUAUUAUAAUAAUCUAUUCUGUUCAGAGUGUUCUAAAAUGUUACAUUCAACUAUAUAAUCAAUACUGUGGAAGAAGAAAAACAGCUUUAACUAGGUUACAAAAUACUGUGUGAGGAGGGAGGUGGUCUCAGCGACUUUGGCUGGAAUAGUUGGACACAUUUUAGCGGCAUUUAGAUAUGUAGAUAGCAACAUUUGAAAACCUGGGUUGCAACCCUGUGACUAUAUACCACGGGUCGGCCGGUCAGUCGCGUGUCGUCAGCGGCCGUGAUCAGACCGCCGCGCCGCCUAAGUUCCUUACUCUGUUGACUCGUCAGCUUCCUCGCGCGGCAGAACUUGCACCAGAUUUGUUUCUCGGGUGUCACUGCGCCAGGACAGCCUUGUUUCGUGUCGCUAUUAUCCACUUUCUCACUUCGUACACAUUUAAGUAUUGUUUUAUUUCUUUUCCUUUUAUAACAAAUAAUUCGCCUUUCACCAACAGUUUCUUGGCGUAACUUUUCGAAUCGCGAACUCAUUCAUGAUCAAUUUGUUCCCUGGUUUGUUGAGCGAUGCGUCGCCGCUCCUUGUCUUGGUGAUUCGCGAGGGUCAUCUCAGCCUGCCACGCCCACGUCCAAGGGGGAAGACCAACACGGUGCUAAUUCAACGCGCAGGUGCGAGAAAGAGAAAAGGAGAAGGACAAGCAGCAACCAGAUCUUGAUGCAGUGAAGAUACGCGGGUCUGUUAUUCGUUGCUGGGUGAGGAAGACAAGACAACAUAGAAUCAAGUAAUAGUAUCAAGAGAAGAAUAUCGGGUUACUUCCAGAAUCCAAUAAAAGAAACAUGAGUCAUUCUUUCAAGGGAGGAUAAGGAACGGAAUCAUAUUUCUUCCAUAUUCAGGUUAAAACAAAAGACGACAUUAUUUCAAGAGAGCAGUAUCAUAUUACUUUAAAAAAUAAAAUAAUCAAACAUCAGAAGUCACAGGUUCAGCGCAGGAUAAGAAAGGGAUCACUUACAAAUUAGGACUAAAACAAGCGGCGUCAUUAUUUCAAGAGCAGAGUAUCGUAUCCCUUCUGUAAUCUGGUUAAAACGACAGACAUCACAGUUUCGAGCCAAGGAAGUGUAUUCAGUCACUUAUAAAAUAAGUUCAGAGCGUUACCUGAUGUGUCUUGUCUGCGUAUAGAAGGAACAAAGGAACACGUUAUACCUUUGAGGAGAGUCUGCUUGAAUUGUACCUGUCUACUGAGGCGAAAUAAACUAAUAGAAUAAUAAGUGGGCGGUGCAUCUGAGAAGGAGGAAGUGUCGCGGGUACCUGCACAAUAUCUUAGUGGUAAUCUUGUGUUUUGUGACUGAUGGCAGAGGAAGGAACAAAGAAAGUAAUUAGUGACAGAAAAUAAAAGUAAAACCAAAGAGAGAAACUAGAAUAAAAUAUACUUAGUGAAUUAAACGAAGGUAAAACAAUUAAAAGAUAACAAGAAAAAAAAAACAGCAAAAAAAAAAAAGAAAAAAUAAGUACUACUAAAAUAAAGAAAAAUAAUAAUAAAGUAAAAAACAAAAGACGAGUUGUUUAGUUACUGAAAAGAGAGAAAGAGAGAGAGAGAGAGAGAGAGAGAGAGAGAGAGAGAGAGAGAGAGAGAGAGAGAGAGAGAGAGAGAGAGAGAGAGAGAGAGA